CUAGACGGACGUCCAAACCUGCAGCCAGUUACUCCUGCAGAUGUAUACGAGGCGCAACAAUACGUUGGUGGUGGAGCAGAUAUGCCGCAGAAGCAGUACUCGGUCAUCCCAGCCGUCACACCAGAUCCCUAUCAAGAAUAUGAGAUGGGAACACCAACUCCUAUAAGCGUGG